CGGGGCGCAGCAGUGGGGAAUAUUGCACAAUGGGCGCAAGCCUGAUGCAGCGACGCCGCGUGAGGGAUGACGGCCUUCGGGUUGUAAACCUCUGUUAGCAGGGAAGAAGAGAGAUUGACGGUACCUGCAGAGAAAGCGCCGGCUAACUACGUGCCAGCAGCCGCGGUAAUACGUAGGGCGCGAGCGUUGUCCGGAAUUAUUGGGCGUAAAGAGCUUGUAGGCGGUUUGUCGCGUCUGCUGUGAAAGGCCGGGGCUUAACCCCGUGUAUUGCAGUGGGUACGGGCAGACUAGAGUGCAGUAGGGGAGACUGGAAUUCCUGGUGUAGCGGUGGAAUGCGCAGAUAUCAGGAGGAACACCGAUGGCGAAGGCAGGUCUCUGGGCUGUAACUGACGCUGAGAAGCGAAAGCAUGGGGAGCGAACAGGAUUAGAUACCCUAGU
rnacentral:rRNA from 1 species